rnacentral:lncRNA from 1 species
CUCACGAGAUCUGAUGGUUUUGAAAAGGGGAGUUUAACUGCACGGGCUCUCUGCCUGCUGCCAUCCACGUAAGAUGAGACUUGCUUCUCCUUGCCUUCCAUCCUGAUUGUGAAGCCUCCCAAGCCAUGUGGAACUUGAUGGGGUUGGCUCUGACGUUAGAGAAGCUGAAGGGGACCUGGCAGGAGCUGAAGGAGCUGCAGACCUGGCUGCUGCCUGCCCCAUCGACAAGAUCAAACUGCAGCUUUGCUUUUACCCCACCCAGACUUUCCAUCAACAGCAUGGGGUGAAGAGGGGAGUGGCAGCAGCAACACAGUCUACAGGGGAAUGUUCCAGAAGUUGGUGAUGGCAUGCACGUGUGCUGUAUGUACAUGUGUGUACAUGCAUAUGUGUGCAUACAUGCAUGUGUGUACAUGUGCGUGUGUCCAUGCAUAUGCGUGCACAUGUGCAUGUGUGCAUACAUGUGCAUAUAUGCAUGUGUGUGCAUGCAUGUUUGUGUGUGUGCAUGUGUGUGUACAUGUCCAUACACUUGUGUGUGUGCAUGUGUGUACAUGGAUGUGUGUGUGUACACGUGUGUAUGGGAGUGUGUUGGGAGAGCAUCAAAGCCUCUUCCUUCUUCCCUGUAGCUCUAUGGCUCUCCUGCUGUCCUUUUAGACCUGUGCACACAUUUUGAUCAUACUGUCAGGAUGGAGGCUACAUAGUAGUUUGUUAAUAAUUCUUGUAAAAGUUCUUUUUAAGACACUUGCACUGAUGUUGCAAGAAUUGAUUCCUCUCAGAAAUUAGAUGCUGUGAUUAGACGAUCUUUUAUGUUACAUUGGAGCAAUCCUUAAACAGCAAAUCAGAUCCCUAACCUUCUUGUGAUAAGAAAGUCUUAAGGAAGACAACCAUUUUUAACAUACCUCUCCAAGAAAAAAAAAAGGGGCAGCUCAGCCCAGGAAUGCCUGAAGGAGACCAACAGUUAGUUUUAAAUUUCCCUUCUCCACUCCCGAACAUGCUUGCUUGUUUCUAAGGGUGGAGAGUUAUUUUGAGCCAAAAUUAUUAAAAUCAUAAUGAGACAAAAAGUGAAACUGGCAGAGUCUUUGGCAUGGUGGGUCGAGUUUGGCAAUAUUUUUUUUGUCUUCCUUCCAUUCAUUCAAUCCAAAAUGACAGCCUUGAAAAUUCUUCUGCGACGGUCACCAUGUGCUAAAACAUGACAACGCCCACAAUGCAAAAUUACAGAUAGGGAUGUGUAUGUGUGUGUGUGUGUAUGUGGUCUUCUUAAAAAAAAAAAAAAAAAAA